GACGAACGCUGGCGGCGUGCUUAACACAUGCAAGUCGAACGGAAAGGCCCUGCUUUUGUGGGGUGCUCGAGUGGCGAACGGGUGAGUAACACGUGAGUAACCUGCCCUUGACUUUGGGAUAACUUCAGGAAACUGGGGCUAAUACCGGAUAGGAGCUCAUGCUGCAUGGUGGGGGUUGGAAAGUUUCGGCGGUUGGGGAUGGACUCGCGGCUUAUCAGCUUGUUGGUGGGGUAGUGGCUUACCAAGUCUUUGACGGGUAGCCGGCCUGAGAGGGUGACCGGCAACAUUGGGACUGAGAUACGGCCCAGACUCCUACGGGAGGCAGCAGUGGGGAAUAUUGCACAAUGGGCGGAAGCCUGAUGCAGCAACGCCGCGUGCGGGAUGACGGCCUUCGGGUUGUAAACCGCUUUCGCCUGUGACGAAGCGUGAGUGACGGUAAUGGGUAAAGAAGCACCGGCUAACUACGUG
rnacentral:rRNA from 1 species